GCUAAAAAUCUAGCUCGCUCCCUCGAAUGAAACUACUUACCUAAAUAAAUAAACUAAAACAUUUUUACAAUUUAGUACAGGGGAUAGAAAAAUUCAAUGAAGCAAUAUAAAUAGUACCGUAAGGGAAAGAUGAAAUAAAAAUGAAAACCUCCAAGCAUAAAAAAAUAGAGAUUAACCCUCGUACCUUUUGCAUCAUGGUUUAACUAGUUCAACCAAGCAAAAAGCAUUAUAGUUUGACCCCCCGAAACUAAGCGAGCUACUUCGGAGCAGCCUCCUGGGCACACCCGUCUCUGUUGCAAAAGAGUGGGACGACUCCCAAGUAGCGGCGAUACACCUAACGAGCUUAGUGAUAGCUGGUUACUCGAGAAACGGAUCUUAGUCCCGCCUAAAGCUUCCCUAGUUUACACUAAAACCAAAACCCAAGCUUUAGAGUAAAUCAAAUAAGGUACAGCCUAUUUGACACAGGAAACAACCUAAGCCGACGGGUAAAACAACUUAUGCAUUAUCCUAGUAGGCCUAAGAGCAGCCACCUAAAAAAGCGUCACAGCUUUGCUAAAUUAACCCCCUAAUACCCCCUUAAAUUUUAAACCCUCCACCUCUAUCGAGUAAUUCUAUAACUUAUAGAAAAUUUUAUGUUAAAACUAGUAAUAAGAAGCUAAACCUUCUCUUAAGUGCAAGCAUAAUUCAGGCAGGAUAAGCCACUGAUAAUUAACGCCCCUGAACACAUAUUAGCAACCCAACAAGAAAAACCUUAUAUUUUAUGCGUUAAUCUAACACAAGAGCACUCCAAGAAAGAUUAAAAGAAAAAGAAGGAACUCGGCAAAUAUUAGCCCCGCCUGUUUAUCAAAAACAUCGCCUCUUGCCUAAAAAUAAGAGGUCCAGCCUGCCCAGUGACACAUGUUCAACGGCCGCGGUAUCCUAACCGUGCGAAGGUAGCGUAAUCACUUGUUCUUUAAAUGAGGACUAGUAUGAAUGGCAUCACGAGGGUUAUACUGUCUCCUUUUUCCAAUCAAUGAAACUAAUCUCCCCGUGAAGAAGCGGGGGUGAAACUAUAAGACGAGAAGACCCUAUGGAGCUUUAAAUUUCCACUCAAAUGCUUACAAGUCUUUAAACUUCUUAGUAACUUAAAACUACCUUGGCAUCAUGAGCCAGAAUUUUAGGUUGGGGUGACCGCGGAGUACAAAAUAACCUCCACAUUGAAACAGGCUUACAAACCCUGAGCAACGGACAACAAUCCCACGCACUAAAAAACUAACAUCCAUUGACCCAAAUUUUUUGAUCAACGAACCAAGUUACCCUAGGGAUAACAGCGCAAUCCUCUUCAAGAGUUCCUAUCGCCAAGAGGGUUUACGACCUCGAUGUUGGAUCAGGGUAUCCCAGUGGUGCAGCCGCUACUAAUGGUUCGUUUGUUCAACGAUUAAAACCCU
rnacentral:rRNA from 1 species